rnacentral:tRNA from 1 species
GGAGAGCUGACCGAGAGGCCGAAGGUGCUCGCCUGCUAAGCGAGUAGGGGACUCAAAUCCCCUCUGGGGUUCAAAUCCCCAGCUCUCCGCCA